GAUGAACGCUGGCGGCGUGCCUAAUACAUGCAAGUCGAGCGAACAGACGAGGAGCUUGCUCCUCUGACGUUAGCGGCGGACGGGUGAGUAACACGUGGAUAACCUACCUAUAAGACUGGGAUAACUUCGGGAAACCGGAGCUAAUACCGGAUAAUAUAUUGAACCGCAUGGUUCAAUAGUGAAAGACGGUUUUGCUGUCACUUAUAGAUGGAUCCGCGCCGCAUUAGCUAGUUGGUAAGGUAACGGCUUACCAAGGCAACGAUGAGUAGCCGACCUGAGAGGGGGACCGGCCACACUGGAACGGAGACACGGUCCAGACUCCUACGGGAGGCAGCAGUAGGGAUUCUUCCGCAAUGGGCGAAGGCCUGACGGAGCAACGCCGCGUGAGUGAGGAAGGUCUUCGGAUCGUAAAACUCUGUUAUUAGGGAAGAACAAAUGUGUAAGUAACUAUGCACGUCGUGACGGUACCUAAUCAGAAAGCCACGGCUAACUACGUG
rnacentral:rRNA from 1 species